CGGAGGAUCCAAGCGUUAUCCGGAUUUAUUGGGUUUAAAGGGUGCGUAGGCGGAAUUGUAAGUCAGUGGUGAAAGCCCUUCGCUUAACGAAGGAACUGCCAUUGAUACUGCAAAUCUUGAGUACAUUUGAUGUGGGCGGAAUGUGUCAUGUAGCGGUGAAAUGCUUAGAUAUGACACAGAACACCGAUUGCGAAGGCAGCUCACAAAACUGUAACUGACGCUGAGGCACGAAAGCGUGGGUAUCAAACAGGAUUAGAUACCCUGGUAGUCCACGCUGUAAACUAUGAUUACUCGAUGUUUGCGAUACACUGUAAGCGUCUAAGCGAAAGCGAUAAGUAAUCCACCUGGGGAGUACGCUCGCAAGAGUG
rnacentral:rRNA from 1 species